AAACACCUGCUCCAUCAAAAAGAAUGGAACACCGGUCUCGGAGAGAGACCAAAGUGAAGAGUGAUCGUGAUGGCUGUCGGUAAGACUCCAGGAGGUAACGGGAGCACGCCGGAGGGCGGACAGGAGUGAGAAAAGUUUCAACAAACUACUGCUGGA